rnacentral:rRNA from 1 species
GAUGAACGCUGGCGGCGUGCCUAAUACAUGCAAGUCGAGCGAACAGACGAGGAGCUUGCUCCUCUGACGUUAGCGGCGGACGGGUGAGUAACACGUGGAUAACCUACCUAUAAGACUGGGAUAACUUCGGGAAACCGGAGCUAAUACCGGAUAAUAUAUUGAACCGCAUGGUUCAAUAGUGAAAGACGGUUUUGCUGUCACUUAUAGAUGGAUCCGUGCCGCAUUAGCUAGUUGGUAAGGUAACGGCUUACCAAGGCAACGAUGCGUAGCCGACCUGAGAGGAUGAUCGGCCACACUGGAACUGAGACACGGUCCAGACUCCUACGGGAGGCAGCAGUAGGGAAUCUUCCGCAAUGGGCGAAAGCCUGUCGGAGCAACGCCGCGUGAGUGAUGAAGGUCUUCGGAUCGUAAAACUCUGUUAUUAGGGAAGAACAAAUGUGUAAGUAACUAUGCACGUCUUGACGGUACCUAAUCAGAAAGCCACGGCUAACUACGUG